CUGUCCUCUGGCUCUGUUGUCUUAAACCCUAAACCCUCGUAACACAAACAGAGCUCCCAUUGACUAAAACCCAUAUCCAAAAAUCGUCUAUAAUUCUCAUGCAAUCCACCUUAUACAUCCCUUCAGACUCUUACUGCUUUUCAUGUCCCCGGCAGGCACCUUUCAAACUCCGACGCCCACAAUUCCUCACCAAGACCCUAGGUUCCUCAAAUUCUCUGAAAACUUCCUGCGAGCAUGAAUUUGAAGGCGUGGACGGACCUAUCAGCACGGCACGCCUCCCGGUCGUGAUUCGGCGGUGGGGUCGAGUUUCUCGGUACUUCUGGAACGGAAGUGAAAGUCGCCUACAGUUAGUUCGUGUAGACGGAGGGGCUUCAUCAUUGUGUUUGAAUUUUGAUGAUGGGUUGAAUAAUUUGUUUGCAUUGUGUAGCUCUGCUGUUAGGGACUUCUUUAUUCCUCAGAGAGUGAGUAAGAAUUAUAUGGAUUAUGUGAAGUGGAAGUUUCUGCAUCGGGUUUUCAGUUCCGCGCUCCAGGUUCUUGCUACUCAGGCAAUGUUUCGGGCAAUAGGAAUUGGAUACUCUAGAUCCCUCCCGUCAGCUGCUGCCCUGAACUGGGUCUUGAAGGAUGGGCUUGGACGGUUAUGUAGGUGCAUCUACACAGCAAGUCUUGCAUCUGCUUUUGAUACCAAUUUGAAGAGAGUUAGGUUCUCAACAUCUGUCCUGUUCAGUUUGAGCAUUGGAGUUGAGUUGUUGACUCCUGCAUUUCCUAAUUACUUCUUGCUCCUUGCAACAAUUGCUAACAUAGCAAAACAAGUAACCGUCGCAUGCUACCUAGCAACUGGUUCUGCUGUUCAUCGAAGUUUUGCGAUUGCAGAUAAUCUUGGUGAAGUUUCUGCAAAGGCACAGAUUCAAAUGGUGUGCUUUGAUAACCUUGGUCUCAUGCUUGCUGCAGUUUUGAAUAUACUGUGCAAGAAUAACCAAAGAUUGUUAGCAGGUUUACCUUUUGUUGUAUACCCAAUUUUUUCAGCAAUUGACCUUUUUGGGAUUUAUCAAGGACUCAAACAUGUCCACUUGCAAACAUUAACUAAGGAUAGGCUAGAGAUUAUCUUAAAUAUGUGGAUUCAGUUGGGAUAUGUCCCUUCACCUGCAGAAGUGAGUAAAGAGGAGGGCAUCAGUUUUCCUUGGAGUAAAGAUAUCAAUGAUGGAGCUUACAGCCUAACAGUGAGGUCUGGUUCAGGGAGAGAACUGUGGCCUAUCAGAAUUGGUUGCUUGGAUCCCAAGGGUCGACUACCAAAGUUAUCAAUGUUGAUGAUGCAGUCAUUACGUAGUGAGGAUUUCUACUUCAUAUGCAUGGAAGCCUGUAGGGGAUUGACAAGGCCUGAGCAGCACGGUAUUCUCCUUUGUUUACGGGAAGGAGCAAGCACUACAGAUGUCAUCAGUGGUUUGUUGCAGGCAUGCUAUGUCCGGAAAAAGCUCCUGUUAAACAGGACCAGGUGGAAGAACAUUGUAGAAGAUUGUGACACCUCAGACACAUUUGUUCGAGAGUGGUUUAAAGUGGUUGAAGAUAGCAAGCAAUCUGCCAAAAGAGAUUUGAAUCUGCUUAAUGAAGAGAUGCUACGUUUAGGGUGGACUGUUAAAAACAUUUUACUGAGCGCAGAGGAGCAAGUCAAAUAUAGAUUUGUAGAUGACUGAAGAUGUUUAUAGGCUUUUAAAGUUUGAGAAACGGGAGACGUUUCCAGUUGAUAUACGGUUGCCAAUUACCUUGCAAUUGCCCAUUUUUCCAAGUAAAAUACAUUUUGUCCAUUUCUAAAUGAAUAACGCCUGUUUUUCAAUUACCUUGUGGAGAUGCAGUAGAGGGAUCUUUAGUUUAGCAAAAUUAUGUCAGAUGCUGCUCUACACAUAUGGGUACUCAGGUUCUAUGGGAACUUGGAUCACCAAAUUCCAAAGCAAAAACUGCACCUGAAAAUUUAUUCUCCCUGUUAAGUUUGAUGGAUCUUCUUUUAAACUUUGUGCUAAUUGCAUGUGUUAAAUAUGAUACUGAAUAUAUGUCAAUUGAAUUCCUUCUAAA